rnacentral:rRNA from 1 species
GACGAACGCUGGCGGCGUGCUUAACACAUGCAAGUCGAGCGGUAAGGCCCUUUCGGGGGUACACGAGCGGCGAACGGGUGAGUAACACGUGGGUGACCUGCCCUCAGCUCUGGGAUAAGCCUGGGAAACCGGGUCUAAUACCGGAUAUGACUCCAUGACGCAUGUUGUGGGGUGGAAAGCCUUGUGCGGCUGAGGAUGGGCCCGCGGCCUAUCAGCUUGUUGGUGGGGUGAUGGCCUACCAAGGCGACGACGGGUAGCCGGCCUGAGAGGGCGACCGGCCACACUGGGACUGAGACACGGCCCAGACUCCUACGGGAGGCAGCAGCGGGGAAUCUUGCGCAAUGGGCGAAAGCCUGACGCAGCGACGCCGCGUGAGGGAUGACGGCCU